UCCCUGGAAGUCCAGUGGUUAGGACUUGGUGUUUUUGCUGCCAAGGGCCCAGGGUUCAAUCCCUGGUCAGGGAA
rnacentral:tRNA from 1 species